ACCAGAAUAAGAUCAUUUAAGCCCAAGUGAUUUGAUUACGGUUCAAUCUUAUUGAUCCACAAACAAGUCAACGAGAAGAAAGAAGAUUGAUUGAACUGAAAAUGAUACGAGAUACGAUCAACAGAAAGGUUUCGAGUUUUAAAACAGAGAGAUUUAACAUUAUUGCAUCAAUAUAAAUAAAACAUAUCGUGAAGAUUAAUCUUAAAUCGCUCGGAAUCAAAUCAAAUUAGAAACGCAUAUUACAUGAUCUCCAAUUAUUAUAUUAUUGGGUUACCAAGAAUAAAAAUCUAGUUAACUUUAAUGAGAUGAAAUGCGAGCUAAUUUGCUUAUCAACCAGAAAUGGGCAAUAGAACAGGCUACUCUGUUUGUACUGGCUUUUCUUUGACUUCGAUUGAUGUAGAAGAAGUUUUUAUCUAGAUCGCUUAUAAUAACAAUAGAAAUAAAGGAUCCAUUAGCAAGUGCUUUCCAGGCAAUCAGCCUAUUGAUCUCUCCAAACUGAUUGAAUGGUUUCAAUCAACAACAAUUAACCACGAUUAAUGGAUAUCUAACGAUGUUUAUAUAUUGAAUAACGAAAAUAAGUAAUUUAAUUCGUUUGUUGACUUGAAGAAAGGAUUAGUUAUUUUUUCAUCAACAACAUCUGGAAGUCAUGAGACAAGCACGAGUUUCGUCUACGAGGCAAAGUCUAAUAACUUCUCAGCAGCUCAACUAAAUCAAUUAAUUCUAUUCUCGGAAAAGCUUCAUCAUCAAGUAUCAUAUUUAUGUUAAUUUACAUCAUUUUAACCAUUAGAUAUCAUUCUCAAUCAACUCCCAAUGAAUGAGCAUAAAGCAAGCUUCCUAUUUAAAGUCAAAUCUAAACCAUUCAUUGUAUCAUACAUCGACAACUUCACUUGAGAAACAGUUAAAAGUUUAUUUCUUUAUUUUGUUGCAUUCAAUCAUUGUUGAACCUACUAACUGAAUAAAAUGGAUCGUGGAAACCGAACCAACCAAUGUAAUCCCUCUCAUACCCCAAGUGGCCCAGGCCACAAUGCAGGUUACGCUGGGACUGGAACCAAGAGUGAUCUUGGAAACCAUGCAAACCAGGGUAAUCCAAACAAUCCAGCUUUUCACAGCAGCCGAGGUGGUAACAAGAAGUGAACACGAUCAUCAGCUUAUCCCAAGAUUCAUAAAGUGGUUAAUUCGUUUCUUAUUCAUUUUCUUUAAAGCUUGACAUUUUUGAAUCUUAUUGAAUAAAAUAACUUUGAGUUUUUUAAAUUGAAA